UUUCCGUAGGUGAACCUGCGGAAGGAUCAUUACUGAGUGCCGGACCCUCGUGGACCGAACCUCCCACCCUGGUAUCUUGUAUACCCUGUUGCUUUGGCGGGCCCCCUUGGAAUUCCCAGGCGCCGAGCGGCACCGCGCCCCUGGGCCCGUGCCCGCCAUAGCGCCCUUGCACCCUAAUGAAGAUGAACUGUCUGAGCAUGCUUGAUAAUAAUCAAAACUUUCAACAAUGGAUCUCUUGGUUCUG
rnacentral:misc_RNA from 1 species